rnacentral:lncRNA from 1 species
UUAGAGAUGGUCCAUGGAGCAACCAAGGGUGAUGUGGGUUAAUCUUGGUGACCAAGUACUUUAUAUGAUGGCCAAGCAUAGGAUAUGUUUUGUGAUGGCCAAGUAAUAUGAGUGAUUAGCAAGUUUACUUAAUUGUUAAGCAAAUGAAUAGAAAGGAGGUUAAUUAAGGAGGUGGGAUGAUUAAUGACCAUAAUGCCCUAACUUUGCCAAGUCUAUAAAUAGCAAGUUAGAUUUUAUUAUUUUGCUUGUUCAUUUUCC